CUUCUUGAAAUUAUUGGAGGUCGUGCCUGCUCACUGAAUAAUUGAAGAGCUGCGGUAUUUUGACCGUGCAAAGGUAGCAUAAUCAUUAGUCUUUUAAUUGAGGGCUGGAAUGAAUGGUUUGACGAAAUAAUAAUUGUCUCAUAUUUAUUAAUUAAAUUUUACUUUUAAGUUAAAAGGCUUAGAUAAUAAAUGGGGACGAGAAGACCCUAUAGAUCUUUAUUUUUUAUUUGUGUUAUAUUAUUUAUUAUAAUUGUAAUAUAGGUGUGGAAAAUUUUAUUGGGGUGAUGUGAGAAUAUAAAAACUUCUUAAUUAUUUAUGCUUUGAUUAAUGGAAUUAAGAUCCUUUAUUAUGGAAUUUAGAUUAAGAUACCUUAGGGAUAACAGCGUUAUUUUAUUUGAGAGUUCUUAUCGACAAUAAAGAUUGCGACCUCGAUGUUGAAUUAAGAUGAUAAUUUGGUGUAGAAGUUAAAUUUAUUAGUCUGUUC
rnacentral:rRNA from 1 species